rnacentral:rRNA from 1 species
UACGUAGGGGGCAAGCGUUGUCCGGAAUCAUUGGGCGUAAAGCGCGUGUAGGCGGCCCGGUAAGUCCGCUGUGAAAGUCCAGGGCUCAACCCUGGGAUGCCGGUGGAUACUGUCGGGCUCGAGUCCGGAAGAGGAGUGUGGAAUUCCUGGUGUAGCGGUGAAAUGCGCAGAUAUCAGGAAGAACACCCGUGGCGAAGGCGGCUCUCUGGGACGGUACUGACGCUGAGACGCGAAAGCGUGGGGAGCGAACAGG